AUUAGUGAAGAUUUGGGCAGGCCAUACGGACGCCAAAAAGUGUCCCUGGCCGCCUACACCCACUAUACAUCCACAAACCCGUGUGCACUGUCUUGGAGAAAGGCUUCAGAGAAGUUUUUUGUGGCCUCUCUUGGGGUCUUUCUUCGCUACAAACUCGAAUGGUUAGUAUGAACGUGGAACUUGGUUGGACCGUCACUGGCCAACAAACUAUACACAACUUUCGACAACGGAUCUCUUGGUUCUCCCAUCGAUGAAGAACGCAGCGAAACGCGAUAGGUAAUGUGAAUUGCAGAAUUCCGUGAAUCAUCGAAUCUUUGAACGCACCUUGCGCUCUAUGGCAAUCCGUAGAGCAUGCCUGUUUGAGUGCCAUGAAAUCUCCCACCCCAAGCGGUUUUUAAAUGAAACGGCUUGGCGGAUGGGGUCUGGAUGGGUGCCUCUGCCUGCGCUACCUAGCACAGGCUCGCCCGAAAUGCAUGAGCGCCUGAGACACUUUGCAUCCGCCUCUCUGUUUGGGAGGAGGCGGCCAAGCAGUGUUUUUCUCCUGGCAUGGCAUGAUACGUCAUUUGCUAUGUCGCCUAAAGGAGGAAUGUUUGGUUGUGUCUGCGUGUGCUUCGAACUUGCCUCUGUGGCACAUCCCAAUUUCACUUCUGGUCUCAAAUCAGGUAGGAUCACCCGCUGA
rnacentral:rRNA from 1 species